CGGAAGAUUUGGCCACUGGAAGCCUGCCGCUGUGUCACUUGAGAGCCACACUCAGCUUUGAAAUUUGAGGACAGUGGAGGAAUGCUGAGACUCAAGAAUUGUAAGAUCCUGAACAGAUUCUGGAGAGGAUUGUGCAUUAGAGGCCAAAGACCGUUCAGCCUCUGUUCCCCCACACAAGGCCGUCACUAGGAGGGUGUGGGGUCUGGGGUGGAAGCGCUGUCAUUUCUGGGACCGACCUUGCCUAGGGCAGGUGUUCUCCUUCAUGCUGCUGGGGAGUACUAAGAACACAGGAGAGACAGUCUCCCUAGCUCUCAGUUAUGGUGCAUGGCGCAACAGAAGUCCACAGCCACCAUGAAAAGCAACUUCAGGAAAAGUCCUGCUCAUCUCCUGAAACCCUAGGAUGGAGCAUGCUGAGUGAGUCUGUGCAUGCGUACUCUGGACAGCACAGAGGAGCUGUGAGGGGCUGGAGCAUGCUCAGUGCAUAUAGACCCUUCAGAGAACUUAGCUGCCAAAUGCUACAUCUAUACUGAGCAUGUGAAAACUGCAAUUUUUGAUGCUUAUAACUUGGCCAAAUUUGGCUCAUCCCUGACACCAAGGUGACUCCUUUUCCUUUCCUGCCAGAUUUCAAGUUCCUCCUCCAAAGCAUUGAGCAACUCUAGUGUCUCCAUGAACUGUCUCUAUGCAUUUUUUUAAUGUGGUCAAAACACAUGUUCCCUCAUUCUCGUUCUCAGAAACAGCUGCACCAUUUUUGGUGAAACUUUAACUUGAACUGUAGCCUGAGACAGACCUCCAGCAUACCAAAUUUUAUCCCAGAUAGUUAGUCUGGCAAAGUGACUAGCAAUUGGAAACAUGAUGCUAUAAAGGGAAAUGCUGGGAAAUCUGAUCUAUAGGAGGCACAAUCAGCCCCAUCUACAAUUAUAUUAUUUUUGGUAAAAUGUUGAUAUUAAAAUAGCAUGUAAUUUCAGGCUGUCUUGCUGAUGUUUGCUUUUAAUUAGUUCAUGUCUCCAGUGAACCACUACAGAUUAGGUCAUAGACUUAACCUUUCCAGGGUCAUCUAUUCAAGCCAAUGAGUAAUUUUACCACAUCAGACUCUCAUUUUGUUUUUGUUUUUGUUUGGCUGGUUUUUGGUUUAUGUUGUUCAAGAAUGUUAACUGACUCUUUAGACACUGGAUUAUUGCUGCAGCUUUCCAUACGGAUGGAUUACAUAUGUGGAGACAAAGUCCACUUGUUAAAUUGCUACAUUUCAUGAUGAAUAAAAUGUUCCCUUCACCUCUGAAUAACUCAUAUGUCCUUUACCCAAUUAUCCUUUUCCCCAAAAUUAUUCUGCCAUCACUGGGAAACACUUGAUUUUAGCCAUGGAGUGGGAUAGAACAACAAACUUUUAAUAUCGUGACAUUGGUAUGUAAGGAAAAACUAUUUAAGGUAAAUUUUGUGGGGAUUUUUUGGCUCCGGUUGUUCCAUGUACAUUUGGACAAUUAUAUCUCCUGGCUUUACAGGUUGAAGAAUACAAAAAAAUAUCCCAGUCAAUUUAGUAAAAAACUUGAUAAAAAAUUCCUAAUCUGGUUUUUCCUGUAAUAUAUCUGACAUAUUUAGAAUCCAUAAGGAUGAGGUCUCAACACACAUUUGGGAUAACCUGCACCACUCCCUUGUAGGCUGGCCACUCAUGAGUAAUGCGGGAUCCCAAAUGAGUGCUUCUAAAACCCCAUGAAAAUAUCCUGCAUUCCAUAUAUUUGUACGCACAGUGGGGACAGUUGUGUUGAUCUUCGGAGGGAAAGUUUUGAUUUUUGUAAUUAUUUCUCACACAGGUCUAUAAAAACCUGGAGGCUCCAAACUUUUAUUCAUCCGAGGAGUCCUUUUUUCACUUUGAUAGGGGCUACUUCAGACUCAUGUCACAACCUCCAUUAUUCUUUUUGCUGAGCUUGUGACUCCAGCCAUGGGAAGAAGAGCAGGAGCUACUCGUCCACUACUCCCCACUCCAAGUAAGGAGGCAGAGAGGAAGACAGAGAAGGGCAGGAAUUAGGAGGAGUCCUGACUGCACUUUCACCAUUUGCUGAUCAGGCUAGAUGGCCAGGAGCAUGUGUAUGUGUAGGGGAGCUGCUCCAUGGUAAGAAGUGAAGUAAAUUACUAUUCCCCUGGGAGUGAGAGGUAGUAAGUGGGAGCAGGCGAAAAAUACUGAUUCUGAGUCUCAGUUCAUUCAGUGAUCUGCUCUUAGAGCAGUGCAGCUAUGCAAACCCCCCUUUUAACAGUAUAAAGGUUUGUAACACAUGUUCUUCACUGCUCAAGAGCAGCUUUAUGAUAAUUCACUAUUAACUACCAAUAUCAGCAAUAAUUAUGCAUACAGAAAAAAUAUUUAUUAAAUAGUUGUAAGCCGGCUGCUCUGAGGAAACAUAUUCUUUUUCUUACAAUCCAAGAAUUGAAAUGAACUGAAAAGACUGCAUUACAAAUACAUUAUCAUUAGAUGAAUACAGUGUAAUUUAGUGUAUUUUGUUAAAUGUCUUUAGAUGUCAAGGCAGUUUAAAUUGAUAAUUUAGUUAAUUAACCAAGAUUUGUUCAUAUUGUAGCCAUUUGACAACCAAUAAGAACUAGUAAACAUAUUGUGAUUUGAAAUCUGAUCUCUUCAGCGAAGGUUCUCUACAAUUAACUUUCUUCUAAAUUAACAAAAAUAAGGGGAAAAAUGAAAAAUAAAUCAAACCUACUAAAAUGUGAAUAUUAAAUAUAUAGUAUGAGUCUUUUCUUAUGUGCAUUUGAAUUUGUUGCUGAGUUAGGAAUUGAUCCUCCAACCCUCUGUCACCUAAGGCCAGAUUGUGAGUCCCUUAGUCACACUGGUAAGCAGUUACUCAUGUGAGUAGUGUGUGGGGACUUUGUCUAGCUCCUAAGUAGCCCUGUGGAUGAUCAUGAGACUACUACUGAGAAAAAGUUGGGGGAUUGGUGGGGGAAUUGGACUUCUUCCUUUAUCUUAUUUCUGUUCCCUCUUUCAUACCUUGAAAGAAUUUGUCUCAUUUGCCCAGAUAAAAUAUAUUAAUCUUGCAUCUCAAGGCUGGAUCUAGCUUCCAUUGAAAUCAGUGGGAGUUUUGCCAUGUAAUUCAA